rnacentral:rRNA from 1 species
UGAGCAAUCUGCCCUUCUCAUCGGAAUAAGCGUUGGAAACGACGUCUAAUGCCGAAUACGACCUCCUUUCGCAUGAUCGGAGGUGGAAAGCUCCGGCGGAGAAGGAUGAGCUCGCGGCCUAUCAGCUAGUUGGUGGGGUAAUGGCUCACCAAGGCGACGACGGGUAGCUGGUCUGAGAGGAUGGCCAGCCACAUUGGGACUGAGACACGGCCCAGAUCCGUACGGGG